rnacentral:misc_RNA from 1 species
UUGAAUGAAUGUAGAGUCGGUUGUAGCUGGCCUCCUUUGGGGAGCAUGUGCACACCUUCUCUUUCAUCCACACACCCCUGUGCACCUGUGAGACAGAGACUUUUUUGCUCCUUUAAUUAGGACAGUAGUUUCUGUCUGCUUCACAUAAAACCAUAUUAUUAAAUUUUGAAUGUAAUUUGAUGUAACGCAUCUAAUAC